AAACUUACCUGGCUGGGGGGAUCUCGCGAUCAAGAAGGCGGGACCCCCGUGGUGAGGCCCUCGCAUUGCACUUUAGCGAGGGCUGACCCGCGUGGCAACCUCGAGGUGAGGUUAGCCAACGGCUAAAUUUUUGCGUGUGGGGCUGCGUUCGCGCGGCCCUGG
rfam:Haemonchus contortus, ISE/inbred ISE, WGS project CAVP01000000 data, contig: Hcontortus_45910